UGGGGAAUAUUGGACAAUGGGCGAAAGCCUGAUCCAGCAAUGCCGCGUGAGUGAUGAAGGCCUUAGGGUUGUAAAGCUCUUUUACCCGGGAUGAUAAUGACAGUACCGGGAGAAUAAGCCCCGGCUAACUCCGUGCCAGCAGCCGCGGUAAUACGGAGGGGGCUAGCGUUGUUCGGAAUUACUGGGCGUAAAGCGCGCGUAGGCGGCUUUGUAAGUUAGAGGUGAAAGCCCGGAGCUCAACUCCGGAACUGCCUUUAAAACUGCAUCGCUUGAAUCAUGGAGAGGUGAGUGGAAUUCCGAGUGUAGAGGUGAAAUUCGUAGAUAUUCGGAAGAACACCAGUGGCGAAGGCGACUCACUGGACAUGUAUUGACGCUGAGGUGCGAAAGCGUGGGGAGCAAACA
rnacentral:rRNA from 1 species